rnacentral:rRNA from 1 species
UACGUAGGGUGCGAGCGUUAAUCGGAAUUACUGGGCGUAAAGCGUGCGCAGGCGGUUUUGUAAGCCAGAUGUGAAAGCCCCGGGCUCAACCUGGGAAUGGCAUUUGGGACUGCAAGGCUUGAGUGCGGCAGAGGAGACUGGAAUUCCUGGUGUAGCAGUGAAAUGCGUAGAUAUCAGGAGGAACACCGAUGGCGAAGGCAAUCCCCUGGGCCUGCACUGACGCUCAUGCACGAAAGCGUGGGGAGCAAACAGG